rnacentral:lncRNA from 1 species
UAAAUGUCAAUCUUUUGACAGUGAUCUGCUGUGCUUUUGACGAUUUGAAGUUCAAUUAUUUUAAUUUUUUAUUUUAGAAAAUAGUUUAACAGUAAUUGGUAAAAAUGAAACCUCGCAGCUUUAUAUCCAAGAACAUGGUUACAAUAGUCAUGGUUCCGCUCCUAAUCGGUGCUCACUAUGGCUGGAUGAAGCUGCAAAACAUAGACAGUCUCGUACCUCCGGAGGAAAGGAAAAAUCUACCAGCGAUAUUCAAACAAGAAGUAUGAGGAGUAAAAGAUUGUACAUACACAAGUCCUUUAGGAACCUAGGGUUCCUACUUUUCAAUGAGAGUUAGUAUAUUUUAUUUUUUAUUAUAAAGAAUAUUUAUCUUAUAUAAUUAAAAAAUUGUAGCCUAUAAAAUGUUAUCAAUUUCUGUAAAUAUAAUAUAGUUUAACAUGC